UCUUCAUUCUUCUUGUUUCUUUUUUCUUCUUCUUCUUCGGUUCUUUCUCUCUGUUUCUCUGCCGAUUCUCAAUUCGAGGGAACUGGGCUAUUUCUUGUGACAUAUUCUUAGAAGCUCGAUACUAUGUUGAUCCUAAGGUGAUGAUGAUGUUUCUGUGGUUGUUUGAUCUCGGGAGGAGAAGAAGUGUUGCAGCUGCAAAUUAAAGUUAGGGUUUUCUGGAGUUGAUUGAUGUUCAUGAGAAAUAGAUAAGACGAUCGGGUUGCUGAUGAAUAUAAAACUAAAGGGUUAAUGAUGAAGUAUUGAGACGAAUUCGUUCUGAAUAUGAAUCAAAAGAAAGGUAAAUUAGGGUUUUGUAAUUGAUUGAUUCUUCUUUGUGAAAUUGUUAUAUCUCGAUUGAUUAGAGAUGGGUUCUAGUCAAAUAUCAGGUUGAGAUGUUCUGUGAAGUUUAAUUUUGAUUCAUAUGAAAUUAGGGUUCCUCGUGUUCUCCCCUAAAUUGGGAAUUGAGGUUCAUGUAAUUGAGAUAUUCAGACUAAGAAAUAAGGGUGUUGAACUGUUAAUGUUUUGACGAUAUUUUGGUGAUGAGUUGAAGAACAUGGGAUGGGUCUGUAUUUGAGGAGUUGGAGUUGAGGUUAGAUGAAUGUAAUUUAUAACAGGGAUAUGGUAUAGUUGCAAUUAGUGAUGAUGCCGUUAUGGUUGAAACGAUGAAUAUAAGUUACAGGGACUGUAGUGGAUUUUAGAAGAAGAAGUUGUAGUUGGUGCUGAGAUUGGUAGAAGUCUGGAAGGCAAGGAUAAAGGUAUUACAUGGAGAAGGACUUGGUGUAUAAAGCAGUGAACUUGGAUAGCUAGUAGUGUUGGCAGUUGUGUCACAAUAACAGAUGUAUGUUGGUUUGUUCUAAGUGAUAUGUUAAGCUACAGUUGAUGGCGAUGAAGUGUACUGAGUUGAUGUAAGUUAAUGAUCUUCUAGUGAUGUUAAUGAUGUUGUUAGAGAAGAGUUUAAUGAUAUUAAUGUAGAAUCAGUGGUAUGAUAGUGGGGUAUAUUGUGGCAGUGGAGUUACAGUGAAUAGUGGUGCUUUAGGUGAUCUGAGUUUGGAUGCUUUGAAGAUGUGUUAGUGCUGGCAGUGAAGUUUAGUAGUGUUGUUGUUGGAGUGCUUGCAUUGGAUUUCUUGUGGUGUUGUUGUAUUGAAUUGCAAGUAAGAAUGAGCUAUUUAUGGAUGUUGAAUUACAGUUCGAAUUGAGGUUGGGAGUUGAACUGUUUGUAUGCAUUGGUGAUGUUGUGGAUGGAGUUGCAGGUUAUGAGAAUUGGAUUAUGCGUUUGCUAGUUGAGCAGAUUUAGAAUGGAUGAAUGUUUAUAGAUGCAGACGGACAGUGUGGUCUGAGUUGAAGCUUAGAUGUGGAAAUUACAGGAUUUAGGAAUUGGUAUAUGUAAAGUGAAUUGGGAGAAAGAGAAUAGUUAUAGUGUUGCUUAGCAGUGGCCUUAAUGGAAGCCUGCAACUGCGGAUCAAGUUAGUCUAUAUUAACAACGAUCGAUUCAAAGGACGAACCAGUGGAUCGUGGAUCUCGAGGUAGGCGUGGCUUGUCAUCAAAAGAGGUUUGUGAUGAGAAUGAUGUUGAAAUAUUUACUUCCAAGUGUGGCUGGUAGUAGUGUUGGUAUUUGAGGCUUGGUGUUCUCUGGAGGAGUUGCAACAGCUUCAGGGGGAGGUGGUUCUGUAGGGGGUUAAGUAGAUUCUGAAGCAUAGGUUAACACAAUGUCUGGCAUCGAUGGACUUACGAAUCAAAACCCUAACAAAUCAUAUGAGGUUGUUCAACCACCUACAGAUUCUAUAUACAGUCAAUGUUUUAGUUCUAAAGGCAACUAUAUUGUUGCUACUUCAUGGGAUAAUCAGGUUUAUUUUGGUUUUUCGAUUUAAAUUACCCUUAGUUUUAAU